UACGAGGGGGGCGAGCGUUGUUCGGAAUCACUGGGCGUAAAGAGUGCGUAGGCGGUUAUGAAAGUUAGAAGUGAAAGCCCAGGGCUUAACCCUGGAAUUGCUUUUAAAACUACAUAACUCGAAUUCGGGAGAGGAUAGCGGAAUUCUCAGUGUAGCAGUGAAAUGCGUAGAUAUUGAGAGGAACACCAGUGGCGUAAGCGGCUAUCUGGACCGACAUUGACGCUGAGGCACGAAAGCGUGGGGAUCAAACAGG
rnacentral:rRNA from 1 species